rnacentral:rRNA from 1 species
CACGUAGGGCGCAAGCGUUGUCCGGAAUUAUUGGGCGUAAAGAGCUCGUAGGCGGUCUGUUGCGUCUGCUGUGAAAACUCGGGGCUUAACCCCGAGCCUGCAGUGGAUACGGGCAGACUAGAGGUAGGUAGGGGAGAAUGGAAUUCCCGGUGUAGCGGUGAAAUGCGCAGAUAUCGGGAGGAACACCGGUGGCGAAGGCGGUUCUCUGGGAAUAUCCUGACGCUGAGGAGCGAAAGUGUGGGGGAGCGAACAGG